rnacentral:rRNA from 1 species
AGUGAACGCUGGCGGUAGGCCUAACACAUGCAAGUCGAACGGCAGCACAGUAAGAGCUUGCUCUUACGGGUGGCGAGUGGCGGACGGGUGAGGAAUACAUCGGAAUCUACUUUUUCGCGGGGGAUAACGUAGGGAAACUUACGCUAAUACCGCAUACGACCUACGGGUGAAAGCAGGGGAUCUUCGGACCUUGCGCGAUUGAAUGAGCCGAUGUCGGAUUAGCUAGUUGGCGGGGUAAAGGCCCACCAAGGCGACGAUCCGUAGCUGGUCUGAGAGGAUGAUCAGCCACACUGGAACUGAGACACGGUCCAGACUCCUACGGGAGGCAGCAGUGGGGAAUAUUGGACAAUGGGCGCAAGCCUGAUCCAGCCAUACUGCGUGGGUGAAGAAGGCCUUCGGGUUGUAAAGCCCUUUUGUUGGGAAAGAAAAGCAGCAGGUUAAUACCCCGCUGUUCUGACGGUACCCAAAGAAUAAGCACCGGCUAACUUCGUG